GAUGAAGAACGUAGCGAAAUGCGAUACUUGGUGUGAAUUGCAGAAUCCCGUGAACCAUCGAGUCUUUGAACGCAAGUUGCGCCCGAAGCCAUUAGGCCGAGGGCACGCCUGCCUGGGCGUCACACGUCGUUGCCCCCCCAUCUACUCCUUCGGGAUUGCGGGGGGCGGAUGAUGGCCUCCCGUGCGCCUCGUCGCGCGGUUGGCAUAAAUGCCAAGUCCUCGGCGACGCACGCCACGACAAUCGGUGGUUGCGAAACCUCGGUUGCCCGUCGUGUGCGGUCGUCGCGCAUCGAGGACUCGAAAAAAUUGCCGGGCUCCGGCUCGGCUUUCAACGCGACCCCAGGUCAGGCGGGGUUACCCGCUGAAUUUAAGCAUAUCAAUAAGCGGAGGA
rnacentral:misc_RNA from 1 species